UCCCUGAUGGUCCAGUGGCUAAAACUCUACGCUCCCAAUGCAGAGGGCCUGGGUUCGAUCCUAGUCAGGGGA
rnacentral:tRNA from 1 species